rnacentral:ribozyme from 12 species
AGAGGGAAAAAAAAAAAAAAAAAAAAAAAAAAAAAGUACCGAGGGUGAUCUGUUUCUUCAUCCUACGCAAGUUGAAAACCCUAGUUUUAGGUGUUUUUGAGAUUGACGUAUUCUUCC